GUGUCAGCAGCCGCGGUAAUACAGAGGGGGCCAGCGUUAUUCGGAAUUAUUGGGCGUAAAGGGCGCGUAGGCGGCUUUGCGUGUCUUUCGUGAAAUCCCUCGGCUUAACUGAGGACGUGCGGAAGAAACUGCAGAGCUGGAGUCCGGGAGAGGGGGGUGGAAUUCCCAGUGUAGCGGUGAAAUGCGUAGAUAUUGGGAGGAACACCGGUGGCGAAGGCGGCCCCCUGGACCGGUACUGACGCUGAGGCGCGAAAGCGUGGGUAGCAAACGGGAUUAGAUACCCCAGUAGUCC
rnacentral:rRNA from 1 species